CCUACGGGAGGCAGCAGUGGGGAAUAUUGCACAAUGGGGGAAACCCUGAUGCAGCGACGCCGCGUGAGUGAUGAAGUAAUUCGUUAUGUAACGCUCUAUCAGCAAGGAAGAAAAUGACGGUACCUGAGCAAUAAGCCCCGGCUAACUCCGUGCCAGCCGCCGCGGUAAGACGGAGGGGGCAAGCGUGAACCGGAUUUACUGGGUGGAAAGGGAGCGUAGACGGCUGUGCAAGUCUGGAGUGAAAGGCGGGGGCUCAACCCUCGGACUGCUAUUGAAACUGUACGGCUGGAGUGCAGGAGAGGUAGGUGGAAUUCCUGGUGUAGCGGUGAAAUGCUUAGAUAUUAGGAGGAACCCCAGUGGCGAAGGCGGCUUACUGGACUGUAACUGACGUUGAGGCUCGAAAGCGUGGGGAGCAAACAGGAUUAGAUACCCGUGUAGUC
rnacentral:rRNA from 1 species